rnacentral:rRNA from 1 species
UACGUAGGGUGCAAGCGUUGUCCGGAAUUAUUGGGCGUAAAGAGCUCGUAGGCGGUCUGUCGCGUCUGCUGUGAAAACCUGGGGCUUAACCCCGGGCCUGCAGUGGGUACGGGCAGACUAGAGUGCGGUAGGGGAGACUGGAAUUCCUGGUGUAGCGGUGAAAUGCGCAGAUAUCAGGAGGAACACCGGUGGCGAAGGCGGGUCUCUGGGCCGUAACUGACGCUGAGGCACGAAAGCGUGGGUAGCAAACAGG